rnacentral:rRNA from 1 species
AAUCAACGCUGGCGGCGUGCCUCAGACAUGCAAGUCGAACGCGAAAUUUCCCUUCGGGGAGAAAGUAGAGUGGCGCACGGGUGAGUAACACGUAGGUAAUUUGCCUUUGGGUGGGAAUAACUCAGGGAAACUUGAGCUAAUACCGCAUAAUGCAGCGGCUCGACAUCGAGACAGUUGUUAAAGCGGGGGAUCGCAAGACCUCGCGCCUGAAGAGAAGCCUGCGGCAGAUUAGCUAGUUGGUAAGGUAAUGGCUUACCAAGGCGACGAUCUGUAACCGGCCUGAGAGGGCGGUCGGUCACACUGACACUGACAUACGGGUCAGACUCCUACGGGAGGCAGC